UCUGGAGGAGGAAUUUCAGGCAGAAAAAUGGGGCGGAGGAAUUGCUGAUUGCCGUAGCGCUGGAACCCACCACCUUACCGUCAAUCCUUCACUGCCACCAGCAGAUUUUCACCCAGGAAAUGAGAUUCAUUCGAGCAGAAACUAGCUACAAUUUUGUGUGCCCGUUUGGUAUUCGAUGAAAUACCCGACUGAAUGUUAUGCCCGGAAAAUGACUGGUCUGCGUUUGUGCAUGUGAAGAAACAAAUGGACAGCAAUUUCAAUGCUUUUCAGAACAUAAUAGUUGAUUUCAAGGGUAGAAAGAAGAAUUUUGAUCCUGAUAUGUUAGCAUGCGACACUGUCUUUGUUUUCCGUUUCUGGUUCUGCCUUUUCCCUUUGUAUGGAUAUGAAUUAAUGGCCUGAAAUUUGUAUAAGAGGGAGCUUGCGAAUUGCACCUUGGAGAGUUGUCGGAAUAGAAUUUUCUGGUAUUCACGCGUAGACAAAGCAAGAUGAAAACAGCCGGAUGCUGGGACUUGUUUUGGAGAAGACGAUUGUUUGUACAAGUUCUGCGAUUUCAGUCCCCCCAUUUCCCAUUUCUUUGUAAUUUAACCCCAAAGAAGUCUCGGAACUUCAUAUUUGCCCCCAAAGCUAUUGUAAUUCCUUCAAUUGGAUCCCUGUUUUGUUGCAUAUGAACCCCUCGAGUUCCCCCCUGUUCUGAUGUGACCCCAAAAAUUGGAAAAGCUGAACUAAUUUCAUUCUUUUGAGCUUAGUCCUCUGUUUGCAUA